rnacentral:rRNA from 1 species
UACGUAGGGGGCAAGCGUUGUCCGGAUUCAUUGGGCGUAAAGAGCGUGUAGGCGGCCAGGUAGGUCGGUUGUGAAAACUGGAGGCUCAACCUUCAGAGGUCGACCGAAACCAUCUGGCUAGAGUCCGGGAGAGGAGAGUGGAAUUCCUGGUGUAGCGGUGAAAUGCGCAGAUAUCAGGAAGAACACCCGUGGCGAAAGCGGAUCUCUGGAACGGUACUGACGCUGAGAUGCGAAAGCGUGGGGAGCGAACAGG